CCUCUUCUUCUAUAGUUCACCGAGAACGGCCACAUAUGAUGCGAGUGCGUGCGGCAAAUGCACUUGCCAUUACGUCUUCGUUGUUCUCACCAAUACGACGUUGUACUCUUGGAGGGCGCACGAGACUCCGCGCAUUGUUUAAAGAUUGUUUCUGUCUUGCUUCAUUAUUCCCCCUCCAAGAACGCAUCGUCCCGAUGCCUAUCCCUGCGCACGUG
rnacentral:lncRNA from 1 species